rnacentral:tRNA from 1 species
GGUAAAAUGGCCGAUGAAGGCAAUAAACUGUAAAUUUAUUUAUGGGGGGUUCUGCCUUCUUUUACCA